rnacentral:rRNA from 1 species
GAUGAACGCUGGCGGCGUGCCUAAUACAUGCCAGUCGAGCGAACGGACGAGAAGCUUGCUUUUCUGAUGUUAGCGGCGGACGGGUGAGUAACACGUGGAUAACCUACCUAUAAGACUGGGAUAACUUCGGGAAACCGGAGCUAAUACCGGAUAAUAUUUUGAACCGCAUGGUUCAAAAGUGAAAGACGGUCUUGCUGUCACUUAUAGAUGGAUCCGCGCUGCAUUAGCUAGUUGGUAAGGUAACGGCUUACCAAGGCAACGAUGCAUAGCCGACCUGAGAGGGUGAUCGGCCACACUGGAACUGAGACACGGUCCAGACUCCUACGGGAGGCAGCAGUAGGGAAUCUUCCGCAAUGGGCGAAAGCCUGACGGAGCAACGCCGCGUGAGUGAUGAAGGUCUUCGGUUCGUAAAACUCUGUUAUUAGGGAAGAACAUAUGUGUAAGUAACUGUGCACAUCUUGACGGUACCUAAUCAGAAAGCCACGGCUAACUACGUG